GCUUUAAAGUGAGCAUCGCCACUCUAAGAAUAUUUAUCUCUGACUUCAUGCGACUGCUGAAUUUGAUUGGGAGGGCACCUGUGGAAGUGGCUGAGAGAAGUAUUGCCAUGAAGAAAGACCUUUCCUCCUGGCAACAUCUGGCAGGUUCCUGAUCUUAAUGAAGCAUCAGCUGAAACUACAAACUGCCUCUGACCUAGUCAGCUAAAAGACGGCAUCAAUCUCACCUGUUUGCUAUUUAAAAGGCAGCAGUUUUGCCUGGGCUAGAUAGUCAGGCUGUUUCUAGAGAUGGUGAGGAGUGUGAUGUGAUUGUUUCAACUCUGUAUUUUUUAGCAGGAUGAAUUUCCUUUUGGAAGUGUCCCUGUUGAUGUAGACAGCCCGUUUUGCUGAGACAGGCCAGAUGUACUCCUGUUAAACAGCUAAACUUAGACAAGAACGCCAAAGUUAGCGUUUAGCACUCCAUUUACUGUCUCCUUUUCAGUCAUUUACGGAAUGACAUCAAUGAUUAUAAAGGGAACAUCUGCUGAUGGCUUUAGGAGGUAUUAAGUUCAGAAUGAGCAAUUUAGUCAUAUAAUUAACAGAAAUAUGGUUUGUUUGGCAGAAUAGAAAAAACGCACUAUAGAGAUACUGAUGAUAAUUGUGAAGGCCAGUAAGAGAAAUCAAAUUGUAUCACUUCAGUACAUUAAAUGUCUGAUUUUGUCAUUCCAAAGUAAGUGCCUCUUAAAACCAGAUGCUCCCUCUGCAAUAUUUGAUGUGUGUCUAUAAUGGAUGGACAAAGGAAAUAUUGCAUCUUUUGUUAUCCCUCAGCACCAAGGUCAAAUUUGUCUCAUAGAACUCCCACUUUUGGCGGAUUCCUGACUGUCUGGUACAGUUCCACUCAUCCCAGGAGGAAUGGUUUCUUGAGCAGAGCAAAGGUAUAGAAUACAGGGAUUGUGCAUUGGAAAGAAGAAUGAAUCCAGGCAAAUGUUUGAGUUUCACUUUAAAAUCUGUUUUUGUAAUAGUUCCUUUGAAGAUCUUUCUGUACUAUAGCUAAGCUAAAAAGAAAACCAAACCAGCCGAAGCUAAAAUAAUUCUAUUAUUUUCUUAGCUAUCUGAGCUACUUCCCACAGUGAAUUAAGCGAUAUGAUUAAAGUGAUUAAUUUUCUUUCAUAAUCUCCUUUAUACAGCAAUCUGUGAUCUGAGAUGUAGGAAUCUUUAAUCUAGUGGUUGAAGGCAUAACAGCGUAUUACUAUGGCUGAAAUCAGAAGUCAGAAGCAUUUAAGCCGUCAAUUAAAUGCAAUUUUUAAAACUAGGAUGAAUCUGACCUCAUUUUUGAACAUCUCGCUACACUGAGGGCAAUUGAUGAUUGACAUUUCUUCUCAUGAAAAGUGACAAAUUCAUCGUCAUUUGGAAUCUUGCAAUCAAAAUUAGUUGUCUUUGAAAAAAAUGUUCUGUAGCUUAGUAAAAAAUUAAGACUGCUAAUGUUAAUUUAUGGUAAAAAGGAGAAAAAAAUAAUUUCCUAAUAUAAAAUAACAGUGAAUUCUUUGGGCCUUAUUAUUUAGAGGUUGGAUAAUGUGAUUUUACUGGAUUCUUCUGGUCUUAACAGUUUGUGGAUCCACAAAAUGCCGUUCAAAUGAUACAUGAGAUGAGUAGAAGCAGGAGACAGAACAUUUUGAAAUGGAUGACAUUAGGGAGGCAGUCUGGUUUAGCAAUUAGUGCGUGGAUUCACAAGUCAGAAAUUCUACAUUCUAUUCCCAUAUCUGACAUUGAUUAGCAAGUCACAUUAGGACUUAUUAUCAAAAGUCAGAUAUGCAGCUGAUCAUCUAAUUAGGAUCAUCAUGCUAUUAGCAUAACUGCAUUUGCAAAUCAUGCAUGCAGAGCUUUAGCCUUUGUUUAACCUUGAUCUGAGAUAUGAAAGCAAUCUAUGUUAUGGAUUGAUUCAACCCUCUUAUUUCGUGAUUUGAGCAGCUCACAAUUUUUGAUCUAUUUAUCCUCAUCAGAUUCUGUCAAACUGGAUAUUAUUACUUAUCCUCAUUUUAAGAUAUUGGAACUGCAGCACAGAAAUAUAAGGUUCUGAUUUCCAAAGACACUUAGGCAUUUAAAGAUGCAGAUAAGCAAUUAAAGACAUUUUCUUAAGUCCCAAAGAAGAUCACAUCCUUAAAUCCUAUAUGCAUUUUAAUUACAUUUUAGGUGACUAAAUCACUUUAGAAUUUGGUUCUGCAUCUUGUGAGGGUCUGUUAAGUCAAAGACCAGUUAGAAACUGUGUCUACCUUAGCGAGUAGCACAGACCAAUAUAAGCAGAUUGAUAAAAUGAAAGAGUCUGUACUAAGAACCUGGCAUUUGCACAUUUCAGGAGGUUUUAAUGUUGGGCUGGCUCUAGUUAUGCUGUGGGCUGAAUUCUUGCCAGAGCUCACCUUCUACUCACUUUCAUUCCAAAAUCCAGUUUGUGUGUGGUCCAAGUCCAUAAUAUGAACCAAAGCAUUAUUGAAGGAGAAUGAACAGGAAAUUUGCUUCCAAAGAUGACACCUGAGCUAAAAUGUUGACGUCUUGAUUCUUAGAAUCAAAACAAGCUAGCAAGUGGAUAAGUAAUUGGAUUUAUCUCUGCACAGGUGGAGAAUAGUGAUGCUCUUGCUUGAAAAGUUAGUAAUAGUAAGCAGAUUGGGUCAUCUGAAAAGUAUGGUAGGACUUCUUGAAGUAGCUCACUGAAAAGCUGGGUAGAAACAGUUAAAACUAGCUUGAAAAAGGAUGUACUUGAUUCCUGGAAGGUUAGCCAACUUAACAAAACAAAAUACUUAGCACCUGUCCAACUUCGAAAAGAUUACUGCAUUCUGGGAUUAUUUUUGUAAAUAUUCUGAACCUCUCUUGGCCAGGUUUAUAAGACAAAGCAACAAUUUUCCAUGCACUGCAUUGCUCUCACAUUUUUAUGAAUUUUCCAUAUGAUGAGAAAAUGAAAAGAUAAAAUGUCUCAUUUCAGUCUUACUAAGUGUGUGAGUAAAAUGAAAAGCUUUUGUGAAAUUGAAUACACUUCCGCGCAAUAAGGUGAAAGAGAGAUUAAAAUUUUAAAGAACAAAUAUGAUUGAGGGGUUCAGCCAGGUUUCAAAGAUCUCCUGGAAUUACUGAAUCCACUACCUUCUGUUUCAUUCUUUUGAGUGAAUUGAUUUUGUCACUCUUAUAUUUUCCAGAGAAAUAUCAUGGGCAUAUGAGAAGUGCUCUGUGAACUGAUAUUCUAACCUAAAUAUUUACUUUUCCAAAAUAUGAAAUGAACUGCUUUUGUUGCUAUAUCUAUGGAAAAAAAAACAAUCAAAAUCCCAAAACACUCCAUGUGACAACUGUGGACGUCCAAGAUUUUUGAAGCUAUCUAGAUAUCCUCCCUAUUUUUUUUCUGCAUUGGUAAUGCUGACAUACUUAAGUAAUAAAUACACAGGAGCAUUAAUCAAGAGAGGUCAGCAAAAGAAUGCUGGAAAAAAAAGAAGGCUCAUUGUUUCUCCAAUAGCCUUUUAAUGUCCUGAAAUAUUACAUCAGAGUUAAAAAUACAGGAUAUAAACAACAGAUACUGAAAACACCCAAAUGCAUUGGAUGGGGUCAGAGGUUAGUAAUGCAACAGGAAAAAUGUAUAUGGAUUUUAGACCAAAAAAUUGUCUUGUUGUAUCUGGAUUUUAUGUGUUCAUUUAUUGGUUUAUUUAUUUUCUAGGACCUCAGAGCUGAGAUAGCUGUAGUAAGUUUCUACUAUUUUUUUGUCAUGUUCCUGGGAGUAAAAAUGCUCAGUCCACAUCCUUUCCCUAUCUUUUUCUCUGACUGAAAACUUAGAGCUUUGUAUCAAAUGCUGGGGAUGAUUCAAUAGAGUCUUCUUUUACUCUAGAAAGUUAAGAUACCACUUAAUUUUCCAGAUGUUACUACCAAAAGGAUUUGUGGUAUCAUAAUACAACCCUUCGGAGUCUGCUAGUCUGAUGGGUAAAUCAAAGGAGGAAGGUUUAUAAAAGUGUACAAUACUUGUGUUCUUCUACCAGAGGUUUCUGUUCUAGUUGCUCUAGAGAAAUACUGUUUCAGGUGGGGAUAAAAGGUGGGAUGUUUUCUGUGUUCUCUGGUCUGAGAUCUGAAACCUCUCUCUUGGAUUUCCCUUGAGAAAGGGUGGGAAGAGAAAAUAAGAUAUCUACAGAUCUUACAAACAUCUACGUAUGGGAAUUUUAAAAACUUUUUAAUAAAUAAUCUUUAUCUUUUCAGAAGUGUAUGGAGCUAAUGAAUGGCUGUUAUUAUGUGAAAGUAGGAGUUGGAAAUCUGUUUCAUUAAAGGCUGAUGCAACCUGGCAUAUGUCCUAAAUACUAUCAAUGGCUUCCUAAUGGCAGUACCGCAGUGGGUUUUAGUGAAAAAUCACUAUCAAUGGCAUGUGGAAAGUCUCUAUAGAAAAAUACAGCAAUCCUUGGCAUUUUGUGCAUGAACAUCAAUGACUUGGUAUAUGGCAAGAUAUUUGUUACCAUGGAUAAAAAAUAGUAGAGUGGAAUGGAUUUUCAAGGUAGCUUCAGGAAGAAUUUACAAUGUAUCUGAAGGAAAACAGCAAGGAAAAAGCCUUUCUAUGACAAGAUGUCAUUAAGACAUGAUGAAUCUAAUUUAUCCAUUGUGUAUGGAUAUGAAUGGACUGACACACAAGCCACAGUGAAUCCCACCAUUAGUAAUGUCUUUCAUGAUUAAACAUAGUUGAAGAUGGUAAACUGCAGAAAAUAGAGUUUGUAAUUUCUCAGUUUUCUGUAGAUUUUCAUAACUGAUAAAGUUUUUGACAUCUGACAGAGUCAAUGAAUGGUACUGAAGAGAAGAGCUUGCAAAAAAGGUGAGGUGUGAUUAUGGCAGAGCCAUUCAUGUCACCAAAAUGAUUCAUUUCCUAUUUCUUUCCACAUCCCAGGGACUGUUCCUGUUUCAGGUGAGAACUUCAGCUUGUAAUAACAUCAUGUUCCUACAAAAAAACCUGCAUUCAGUAAUAGCCAAUUAUUCAACAUCAUCUUUGAGAGGUGACUUGGAGGUCAGACAAAGAGGUGGACACAUUUUAAAUUAUUUUGUAAGAUCUAUCCGUCUGCUCUAUUCUAUAUUGCCUAAUACAAGUAUUUGAAAAGAAACUUCUCAGUGAUGGUGACAGAGCCUGGCCCAGGCUGCCCAAGGAGGUUGUGGAGGCUCCUUCUCUGGAGUCAUUCAAAACCCGCCUGGACGCCUUCCUGUGUAACCUCAUCUGGGUGUUCCUGCUCCAUGGGGGGAUUGGACUGGAUGAGCUUUUGAGGUCCCUUCCAAUCCCUGACAUUCUGUGAUUCUGUGUGAUUUAUAUCAUCCUUGUUCUGGACUAUGCUAGUGCCAUCCAGAUUCUGAAAGAUGAGCAUAAGCCUGAACCAUUCUGGCGCAUAUACCUUCAUCUUCUCUCCCCAGAAACCAGGGCCUAAGGAGAGCUGAGGAGUCCAGGUCUCAUUUUAGGUCUUACACUAAGCAGGGGAAUGAAUGGGUUGCACGUCUGAGCCUUAAAACUUUGCAGUUUAGAUGGAGGCACUACAGAUUGUCUCCAGUUUCUACUGCUUCUUGCCUUCAUGACAUGACAAAAUUGAGUUUUUUGUUCAUGGUUUAGUCUCUGUUUUAUGGUGGUGGGUUUUUUUUUUUUCCUUCUCAUUUGCUUUUCCUGGCUGUGGCAGUCGUGUCAGGUGGCCAGGAGGGAGGGAGAGGAGGAGAUUGGAGUGUCUGCAUGUGGACUGAGAGCCUCCUGACCGAGCACAUGGCUUGCCUGUUGCUGAGGAGCAGAUCUACAGCCAAGCCUCAGAGGUCAAGGAGAGGCUGCAUUCCUGGAGCCCCCGAGGGACCCUGUGGAGGUUGCUGCAACCCAGGAAGGCCGUGCAAGCUGCUGGACUCCAGAGCAGCUGGAAGGAGAGGCUCAUUCUGAAAGGAAAUAGAAAACGGGGGGAAGAUUUGUUUUCAAAACUUUUAUUUAUCUGCAUCAUGCAGAAGAUCUACAUUUGCUGUGUUUUAAGGGGUUGCCGGUGCUCUAAGAAAACACAGAGAUUAGAAUUACUGUAGUGUUUUGGGGUGUGCUCAUAAUAAGAUUGGUCAGUGCUACCUCAAGGCUCAGACCUCCUCAGAGUCACUUCAAAACCUCAUAAAAGCAAAUGUUUAUAUAUCAGCUUUCUGGGAUGGAGGGCUUCUCUUCCUUCUUUGGAAAUGACUACAGAAAUAUUAGUGAAUUAUCCCUUGCGUAAUUUAUUUGGCCAGUCCUGCUAGUAGAAGGAGACAAAUAGCUACUACAAGGGACUAGAAACCAUGGAAAAAUGAGCUUGCUGUUUAAACUCUUGAAGUUGAUCUAAUUAGUGAUGACAACUAGUGCCUGGUUAGUGCAAGAGAUUUAAGAGCAUACUAUAACACUUUUUCUGUUUCCCUCAACUUUUGCCUGCUUUUCUAUCUCUAGAUGCUAAAAUCAAACAUUUCUGUUCUCCAAGAAAGCAAAUACCAUGUAAUACAUGCUGCAAACAAAGAAUAUUUUCUCUUUAAGACAUCAUUUAUUUAUAAAAUCUGUGUUUUGACAACACAAAUUCAUAGAUGUGUGGGCCCCUAUAUAGUGAGCCAAGUUCUCUGAUGUUCUAUAUAGUUGAGCAAUGCUAGUACAAUCCAGGAAAAUAAAUGUAUAAGCUACAGGACCAAACUAUCAACAAAAGACGUUGAACCAUAUGUAAACUGAGCAUAAAGCAUUUUGCAUUUUUUAACCCGCUUCCCUCCCUGAUUUGGGAUUAUUGGCAGUGUUACUGAACAUGAACUGAAGUCCAAAUGCCACAUACUUUGCAGCAGCAUUGUAUCAUAAAUCCUAUCUGCGUUGUAUUUAUUGAGCCAAUCUGCACCAUAUUUUGCUUUGUUAAUAUCUGUUAUAUUACACUAACUAGCUGAGAAGCUGAUGAAUUGGUGUAAGAGAGUAAUGGUUGGUAGUAAGUAUAAUUCUGAUUGUCUGAUUUGCAAUAUUUGAUGGCUUUUUGUUGAGGUAUCCAAAAAAGAAAGUGUGUAACUUAGUUGAUACUGAGAAAUUCUGCGAUUCCUGUGAUAAUGGUUUGAGGUUUGUGAUGUGACGUGUAGAUUUACCUUCAUGAAUUCCUAGGCAGUUCACAGUAGAUUUUACAAACUGUUGUUUUCAGAAAUAUUUUGUUCUAUAAUAAUGGGGAAAAAGGCAGCUCAGGCAGUACUGUCACCAUUGUAAGCAUCUGUGAAGGCAGCUUCUCGCACUGAGAGUCAGGAAAGAUCUACUUACCUGCAGAUGCAAUGCAAUGAAAUGGCUGUUUGUAUUUAUAUCAGUUUUUAUAACACUGGGAUAAUUAUUAAAGGACAAAUAUUGAUAUUGCUGCUGGGGAUGAUCCAAAGUUUGACAGAUUGAUGCUUCUGAGAAUUCUUUCACCGUCGGCAUUAUGGUAUCUCUGACUAUUUUACUCACAAGUAGUAAGCUGCUUAUACAAUCUAAUUUACAUAAAGUUACUUAGCCAAGAGAAGUGUCAAAAUCACUAAUAAGAUAAAGACAUCUGCUUCUGCACUACAACAGCAGGGAAAGCAAAUGCUGAUGUAGUUUUCAAAAUAGUGAAUGUGAAAAGUAGGAGAUGCAAUAGAAAUGUGUUAAACAGAGUGUUGGUACCUGUCAAAGGCUUGUUAAAAGGAGAAGUCCCAGAGAAAGGCUCUGUGAUUUCCAGAAAAGGCAGAGGAUUCACACUUAAAAAAAAAAAAAAAAAAAAAAAAGGUAAAACUUUUUCUUUAUAUCAUACUAGAGUAUUCCAUAGACCUAUAGCACCUGGUGCAACAGAGUACCCAUAGUGAAUUUGAUGACAAUACUAAAUCAGCAGAGUGGCUGACAAGACAAACAGUGAAUCCACUCUCCAGGCAGACCUCCAUGGUCUUGAGGAGGCAGCCAAAAUAAGAAACUUCAACAAGGAGUCCAUAGUUCUGCCCCUGGGGCAAAAUAACCCCAUAUAUAAACUCAAGAUGGGAACCGCCUGGCUAAAUAGCAGCAAUGCUGAAAAGAAGCUGGGGAUUACUGAGGAUACCAAGGUGAAUGAAAGCAAGUGGCACGUGCUCAUCGUGAGUAAAGCAAAAUGCAGACUGGGCUGCAUCAGGAGCUGCAAGGCCAGCAGACUGAGACACCUUGUACUCACCACUGGUGAGGCCACACUGAACACUGUGGUCAUUCCCAAAUUAAGAGGGAUACUAAGAGAUUGGAGAGGGUGCAGUGAAGGGUUGUCGAGACAAGCCAGACUAAAGCACAUGGCAGAUGAGGAAAGGCUGAGGGAUCUGAGCUUGUUAAUUAAGGAGGAGGUCAAGGGCAAUCUAAUAGCAGCCUGCAAGCACCUGAAGCAAAGACAGCAAAGCCAAGAUUCUGCUUGGUGAUGGCAGAUGCUGCAGUAACCACAGACGUCACCUUGGGAAGUUCAGAUUGCUGAGGGGGAAAAGCUUUUCCACAGGAGUGUGGUGCCGCACCACUGGAACUGGAAACCCAUGGAGGUGGUGGAAAUCAUCACCCGCGGUGCUUUUCAUGGCUCAGCCAAAGGUAGAGCUGGCCUGGACUAGUGAGGUGACAGCCCCUGCUUUGAGUAAGAGAUCUUCAAGGUGCCUCCCAACUGAUGUUUCUAUGAUUCUGUAAAAUAAAUUGAUUAAAUAUUGUUCACAAAACAUUUAGGAAUAAUUGUUUGUGCUGACCACAUAGAUUUACUGAGUCAAAAUUAAAGAACAUGAUUUUACAUCCUAUAUACAUCCAAGAUUAGGGCUUAGUUUCCGUUGCUUUUACUGAGAAUUCAUUACAGAACUUUGGGCCCAUUUUUUAGAUGAGUAAAUCAAUGCUUUUGUAUUUUUGAUUUUGACUGUUCUGGCUUUUUCUAUUAUAGCAAUUAUAGAGACAGUUAGAAAUGUGUCAUAUUCUAAUGGUCAUAUAGGGCAUAAUGAUCAUAUAGGGCUAUUAGUGCUUAUAUAGCAAGCUAAAUGUGAGGACUAGAAAAAGAAAUAUGUAAAUGAUCACUGAAGUCUGGCCCCAGUUCUUUGCUUAUUUACUCGUAGUUUUAAGGGUAACUGUAAUACUUUAUUGCAAUUUUCUUUUCUUUUUUUCUUUGUUUCUAAUAGUGCAUUUUAUUCAUAAGUAUGAAAUGUUUUCCUGACAACUGCUAGAAUUGUUUCUCAGAACCCCCAACUGAAAAUAUAUUCAGUAAACUGCAUUGUAACUUUGAAGAACAGGUUAGGACACAAAGAAUAAUAUCUUUUCUUAAUUGAAUCUGCAAACAAAAUUCAGAGUGCUUAUUUAAAAUGUGUUCUGGGAAAUGGCUUUUCUAUUGACAGAAGAAAUUACAAUAUGAGCUUUACAUCUUUUGGAAGACUAGGUCAGAUUCUGAUUAUGUUCACACUGGCAUAAUUGUAGAGUGUUUCUGCUGAUGCUAAUUCAUAUUUAUACCAGUGCUUCAGAAUUAAAAAUCCAUUUGAGCAUUUCUGGCAAUACUGUGCCUCCUAGCAUGAUACUCGACAUUGAUUUAGUUUUAGAAGUAAAAGAAGUAAAUGAGCACUAUGGCUUCCUGAAAUACAAAAUGAUAUUAAUUUAUCCUUAAUUUAUAGUUAAUACAGAAUAUAAAGAAGAAAACUUGAAUUGGUAAUCUCUUUAGGUUCACUUUUUCAGGCACUUAUGAUUAUUAAUAAUGCAGGAAUCUGAAACAGCAGUAAAAAUUGCAAGAAAUUGUAUAGCCCAUUAUUUAAACAGCAGCUUUCUUCAAUUUCAAAAGAGCAAACGUCUUCUCUUUGGCUUUUUUUUGUUGUUGGUUGUUUGGUUGGUUGGUUGGUUUUUUUAAUAUCACUUUCUGCAAUACUGGCAACAAUACUGAAUUUGAAAAAAAAAUGUUCCUACAUUUCGCAUUCACCUGAGUUUUUGUGAAUGAAAGGGCAAAUAGAACACUUUAUUUCAUUCAUUAUUUCUGGAGAAGAGCAAGUUGUUUGUAGUAGACAAGACAUACUGGCCUGUCGUCAGAAACAGUAAUGUCUUAUUUCUGGUUUCUUCUGCUCUGCACUAAUUUUAAGACCUUUUGUGCUCUUGGGUAUGUAUGUUAUGAAAGCGACUUUCUUUUUCUGCUGUCAGAGUUGGUAAUUUUGUCAGAAGUUUCUUUCUGUGCAUUGAAGAGAGAUUGGUUUGCGCUAACUCAGGGAAUUCUGCACUAAAUUCCAUUGUAUGGCGUAGACAUGUAUUCAUAUAAUCCAUAGAACUCAGCGCUACAUUCUCCUCCUUUAUAUACCUUACUUUUGCAAUUACAUUCCCAGUUUUACUUAUGAAAAAGAAAUCCCAAAUGUGGAGAGAACCUAUGAAAUUAUUAGACAGGUGAAAGCUAUUUGCUGUUACCUGAAGCAUUUAAAUAAGAUCAGAAGCAAAUUUUCUUCGUAAUAUUAAUAUAAUAUCAUAGAAUAGUUCAGGUUAUAAGGGACCUCAGGAGGUCUCUAGUCCAAUCUCCUACUCAAAGCAGGGUCAACUUUGAGAUUAGAUCAGGUUGCUCAAGGUUUUAUCCAGUCUCGUUUUAAAGCCUCCAAGGAGGGAGAUUGUACUGCAAUUUUGGGCCAACUGCUCCACUGCUUGACUGUUAUGAUGGUGAAAAAGUUUUUCCUUAUAUCCAGUUUGAACCUCUCUUGCUUCAAUUUAUGCCCAUUGUUACUUGUUCUCCCAAUGGUCACCAUUGUGAAGAGUCUAGCUCCAUCUUCUUGACGACCUCCUUAUAGGCACUGGAAGGCCACAGUCAGGUUCCCUUGGAAGCCUUUUAUCAGUGUCUUGUAUGGAGGUUAAGUGGGUGGAGGACAAUACUGGAUAUAACCUUCUAGAUGAGGUCUAACAAAUGUUGAAUGCAAUACUACAAGUGCCUGAGGUCUUUAUCUAAGAUCUUCUUUUGCUCUCAAAUGACAUAAUCUUUUAAAAUCAGCUGUCAUUAAAUUGGAGAUUCAUAGUUUUUCUUACUGUGAUUAGAUUGCAUUAUAACCAAGCUAAAGAAUGAUGACAGAAUUAUACAUGUAAACAAGAAAUUUAUACUGAUUACCCUAAAAAAAAUUCCAUGGUGGAAGGUAAGAAGUUUAUCUUUGUCCCAAAAAUGUCGUCCCACUUUCAGUGGACCAUGACUCCUCAUUCCAAUGCUACUCUGAAGUCUUCAUUGACUCCUCACCAGUACUGGGGUGGGAAGAAGAUACUGUGCUAUGGUGGCAAAUAAUGGAUCUUUUACUAAAUCAGGGCUAUGUGCAGACUGUGUUAUAUGGAUGGCUUCCCAGAAAAGAUAAGUUCAGUUUUUACAGUAUCUCAUUAUUCACAUGAAUUAAAGAUGUAGCUCUAAUAACUCCACAACUCUCACUUAAUAUAUUUAAGACCUUUGAAAAAAAAUACAAGAAAAAUCAACAGAACUGAUUGUGGAGCAGGAAAUAAUAUAAGCAAAGAGUGGUCUUGAUAGUGACUAUUUUAGAAAUCUAAUUUGGUGGUCUUCUACAGUGUUGCCACAGAGAUAGAGGACUGACAUUUCUACAAGGCAAAGAAAGCAUCAAAUUGGUCUUAGAAAGUCAACACUUUAAAAAAGGAGUCUUUGUAGUGGUAUGAAUAUAAUUAUUUAGUGUUCAAAUCCGGUGGAAUUUCAAUGGCAAGCAAAAAAGCAAACAUCAGUGGUACAGGUUCCUUCCAUUUUACAAGUGAAGUGAAAGAUAUAAUAGGAAGAUUGGAUUUGUUGGCAGAUGCAAUCCAUAUUUUCAAUAUAACAAGAACAAAUUUUUAUUCUUUUAAUUAUUCUGCUGUAGUUUUGUCCCCCGUUUUCCUUAGCCAGUUGUCUUCUUCUUAAACCUUUGUAUGGAAAACUAUCUUAAAUACUAUAUAUGAUGUAAUAGAAAACUAUUGAAUUUAUUAACAAGUGAGUGUUAGAAAUAAAGACAAUUCCAUUAGAAACAACAGGAUGUGAGAAGAAUUAAGUCCGAUAAAAAACCACCAAACCUCUUCACAUUGGAAACAGUGGAACAAGAAAUUAAAAUGGAUAUGCUAAACAAGUCCAAAGAGAAGCAUAGUCUCUAGUCACUAUUGUAGGGAACCUUGAUUUGGCUAUCUAGUGCUGGCCCACAUAGCAGGUUUUUUCAGUACUAGAAGUGACUUCAUUACAGAUGACAGAACAAUGCAGAAGAUGACAGAGGAGUUUUUUGUUGCUGAUUGGUGUCAUCAUGGUCAAUAAAAUGGUGAUUUUUCUUUAUCCUUUUCUCAUCUUGGCUUGAAUUCUCAGUGACGUCUGAAUUAAAAAACAAACCCCCAAAAUCCCAAAAAAUCACCCUCAACCCCAAACCAAACACACUUACAAAGGGAAUUUCUAAACUCAAAAUACAGAGUAAAUCUGCAAUUCCCUACCAGCAGGUUGAACCUUAAGUAUAGUUGUCAGAGAUAACAUCUAGUGCAGUCUCUUUGGCUUUGGAUUCAGCAAAAGCCAGAGGUGUCUUACUUAAACGUGGAUGCUUACAUGAGAGCCAGGUAUCUGAUCAAUGGAGAGCUUAUCAAUACAUUUAUUGGAGACCAGAAAGCUACUUAGCAGUUAUUCUUUUGGUCUAACAUAGGUAUGGGUUAAAGGGUUAGCUGAACAGUUCUCUGGAUUCUAUUGACUUCAUAAUAUAUUCUAUAUAGUGGCAGUUUACACAUCUAGUUCAUACAUCUGCACUCAUUUUAAGCACCUCAAUCUGGAAACUAAUUUUUUAUCCUAAAAGAUAAAUAGAGACUAAAGCUGCUGUCACUACUGUUGUACCAUCCAAUAUUGGGAAUGCUUAAUUCUCCUAUGUAAAUACUUAAUUUUAUAAAAACUUCUGAACCAACACCACAAUUUCUCCAUGAUAAAAUAUUCUGCUGCUUGCCAAUUUGGUACUAGAGAUUUUACAACUUAAAGCUCAGAGAGUGUUAAGUGAAUGUAAACCUUUUGGCAUUGCUGAGUGUCCAUAAUCAUCUGUGUAUCCAUGGUAACUACAGGAGAGAAAGUAUGGGUGUAUAAUCCUUCUUAAGUAACACAACAUUAUGUUUUUCUUGGUAGACAAAGAGGUGCUAGCUAGUCAUAAGCAUAUUAAACAGUCUGUGAAUAUCAAAGUUGCAAAUAUACUCCUUACCAGCAAAACAGAAAUUGGUUUUGUAAAAUUGUAAUGGGUGCUAAUACUUCAGAGAUAUUAAUACAGAAUUUCUGGAGCUUCUGUUUUGAAUAAAGGUGGGCAAACUAACUUCAGAUCAAUCGUUUUAGUUAAAUCUCCUUUCUCUUCACCUUACAGUUCAAUAGAAAAGUCAUAACUAAUCAUGCCAACCUUGUUGCUUAUCAGAGGAAGGGCUAGAUUAUUCUCUGACUAAUCACAAUGGAAUUUACACCCUUUUAAUGUGCUAUAUUUCUGUGUGAUAGCCUAAACAUGUUCAUAUAAGUGUUUUUGUACGCUGUAAAUGAUUUGAGAAUCAAUAUGCUAUUGACUGUACGGCUAUAUUUAUAAAUAGUGCUUUUUUCCUUGUUUUCUUGUUUUAUGACUUAUUUUUGGUUAGCAAAAAUACAGAACAUUUUAGGCACAGUUAUGACUGUUAUUUGAAGACCAAAAAUAGCUGGAUACCGUUUUUGUUUUAUACU